AUGUUGAUGAUCCUAAAUUAUGUAUAAAUGUGAAACGCACGAGAUCUACACACAGACGCCGUAGACCGAGCAGUGAAUAUGGUGGUCAUGAAGUUUUUGUGAAAUUGGGGCUGAAGAUUGUAACAAAUAUGUUUACCAGGAUGCCUUCAUGUUUGAACUUCAAGGGGACAAUAUACGGUGAAAACGAUGAUCUUGCCAUUUGCAAAUUUCCUGGACCUACGACGACCUCUGAAUUAAUCAAGUCGAUGAUCCGCACUUUCUUCCCUGAAACUUGGAUAUGGAAACUGG